rnacentral:rRNA from 1 species
UACGUAGGGACCGAGCGUUGUCCGGAAUCAUUGGGCGUAAAGAGCGUGUAGGCGGCUUGCUAAGUCUUGCGUGAAAUCUCGGGGCUCAACCCCGAGCGGUCGUGGGAAACUGGCAGGCUAGAGUGCGGGAGAGGGGAAUGGAAUUCCUGGUGUAGCGGUGAAAUGCGCAGAUAUCAGGAAGAACACCCGUGGCGAAGGCGGUUCUCUGGAACGCAACUGACGCUGAGACGCGAAAGCGUGGGGAGCAAACAGG